AGGCCUUCGAAUUCCGAUGAAACUGAAGCAGACAACUACUUUUGGGUAAAUUUUGUAAUUUAAACCCAUUGACUUCUUAUUGGAGUGUAAUUCACUUGGUUGCGUUGCUAGUGAAAAGGAUCUCCAAGAGUGGUCGGGUGAGAUUGGCUCUGAUAUCCCCUUCUCUUCUCUCAUGGUGUUGCUUAUUGUACAGCUAGAGGGGAGUUAGUGAAUUCGAAACCAUAGCCGCCGCCUCAUCUCAGAAACGGGCGUCGAUUUUACCCGAUCUCAGAAAACGCCGGUCGUCUUUGCCUCAUCUCUUCCGAUUGCUUUUCAAUCGCCUGCUCUGGUUAGAAAAUGACUGGCACCGUGGCCUUAUUGGCUCCAGCAUCGACGCCUUCUUCUUCGGCCCGAAGGUUUCUUCGUCGUCGUAUCGCCAUCGAUGAAUCCCCACAUAACCCUCUGACUCGUCUCUUAGAUAAUUUCUCUGCUCAUCUUUUGUUGUGGUCUUUUAAGACAAUGGUAUAAACUAGUAUAAAACAUUGAAGAACUGACGGUCCUAUGUCAAAAGAUGUGGCUUUUGUCAAUGUUCUCGUCAAGGAAAAGUUCAGCCGACUUUGUGCAUGUGGAGAUGGAUUAAAGCCACUAUCCAAAAGAGGAGAGAGGAUUAAUCUUGAUUUGCAAAAGGAGAAUGAAGAGCUGAACAAAAAGAAUGAAGAGUUGGCCUCUCGGAUUGAGAGAGAGGAUUAAUCUUGAUUUGCAAAAAGGAGAAUGCAGAGCUGAACAAAAAGAAUGAAGAGUUGGCCUCUCGGAUUGAGUCUUUAGAAGCUCAAAUUAGCAACCACCAAGUGAAUCUAGCAUGAUCACGUCUUUACUUGUAUUUGCAAUUUGUACUCCCUCCGUCCACGAAAUGAGUACCCAUUUGUGGACGGCACGGGUUUUAAGAAAUGUAUGGAGUGUAGUGUGAAUAGUUUAAAGGUCCCACUUUUUUAGUGUAUUAAUUAAAGAGAUGUGUGGGGUACACUUGCCAAAAAGGGAAAUGGGUACUCAUUUCGUGGACGGAGGGAGUAUUUGAUGUUUUAGAAAUAAGUGUGAUCACGCUUUUUUCAACGUCUUAUGAAACAAUACUGUCAAACUAGCAUGAUCACGUCUUUACUUAAAGAAGCUUCCGCAUCAAUUUUGUAAUUCGAUCUAGUAUUUUUAGAAAUAAAUGUGAUCACGUCAUUUCUUAAA